rnacentral:rRNA from 1 species
AUUGAACGCUGGCGGCAGGCUUAACACAUGCAAGUCGAGCGGAGCGAGGGUGCUUGCACCUUAGCUUAGCGGCGGACGGGUGAGUAAUGCUUAGGAAUCUGCCUAUUAGUGGGGGACAACAUUCCGAAAGGGAUGCUAAUACCGCAUACGCCCUACGGGGGAAAGCAGGGGAUCUUCGGACCUUGCGCUAAUAGAUGAGCCUAAGGCGGAUUAGCUAGUUGGUGGGGUAAAGGCCUACCAAGGCGACGAUCUGUAGCGGGUCUGAGAGGAUGAUCCGCCACACAGGGACUGGAACACGGCCCAGACUCCUACGGGAGGCAGCAGUGGGGAAUAUUGGACAAUGGGCGGAAGCCUGAUCCAGCCAUGCCGCGUGUGUGAAGAAGGCCUUUUGGUUGUAAAGCACUUUAAGCGAGGAGGAGGCUACUAGUAUUAAUACUACUGGAUAGUGGACGUUACUCGCAGAAUAAGCACCGGCUAACUCUGUGCCAGCAGCCGCCGUAAGAC